UGAUCUGUUAGAUGAUUGGCCCGUCAGGUGAUUGUUUGGAGUGAUGACUGAUCUGUUAGAUGAUUGGUCCGUCAGGUGACUGAUCUGACUGAUGAUUGAACCGCUGUGCUCCAAAUCCAAGCCAUAAACCAAACCGUCUCCAGGCUGUUCUAAGAAUCACAUAAAGUGACCAAAUCUCUGCUUCUUUUACUUAAAAAUGGAGCAGACUGCAGCUCGCAGGGAGGGUCUAAGCAGGGACCCCAGGGCUGGCCCAGUGACGUAACUCAAAUUGCCGGCGCCCCUCUGCCGGGCGUCUCCGGGGGCCCCCUUUCCACUGCUGUGACCUAUUUUGGAUCUAUUUGGUUGUGCUCGAAACAUGUCAUUGCGCAUGUACGAAAUCAGUGCUCCCCAUGUGCAUAUUAUUAACCGAUUCCGCCCAAAGUAAGGCAGUGAUUGGAUGAGAGCUGCGCAGGUCCGAGAGACCCCCAAAAAAUCACUGGGGAGUAAACGAGGCGUCACUGAAACGCUCGUUAAUGAUCUGGUUAUAAAAUCUGACUGUACUGUAAUUAACAAAAUGCUGAUUUUCAUGUGUUUUAUAAAUAGACAUUUUUAGACAUGAAAGUUACCCCAUAAUUCAUUUUUACUGGAAACGCCGACCUCUGGGAUUUAAAGGAGCCCCGUCUUAAAUCACGCAACAUUUUUCUAGCUCAUAAGGUUUUUAUUGUGAUUCUAAACGCUUCCUUUUUAUAUAAAUCGCGAGCCAAACCCCGCGCCGCCCGGCCAUGCGCCGCCCGGCCAUCUCCGCAAAGACAAUCAGCCUCUGAAAUGUGCCAGUUUUACCCAUAUUUACAAUAAAGCGCGUGUUUGAUGA